GCGAAAACAAGCCCAUUUUAGCCGGUAUGAGUGAAAAACAGAAACAGUGACAUCCAUACUUGCGCUUAUUUCAGAAGACAGUAUUUUAUGAGAAGUGGUGACAGGGCAGAGCGUAUGAAACUGCUUGUUUCAGAACGGGUUGCAACAGGCCCUCCGACUACCAAAAGAUCUCUGCAUCCUUCCUUCUUACUGUCCUCCCCGAGCACGGGCCAUGAGCGCUUCACAGCAACAGUGCAAAGCUGCCUGCACAUGCAAAGACUGUGUAUGGAGAUCAGGGUGAAAGAAGUGAAGUUGGCCUAGGAAGUCCCACAAGCAAGAUUCACUUCUCUGAUUGGAAAAAUUCCUGACUAUGAGAAAAGUGAAGCAUUAAAAUGGAUUGCCUUGGGUGAUGGUGGAAUCCGUAUCAUCCCUGGCUUUUAAGAAAAUCAUACAUUUGAAGAUGAUUGAUUGAUUUGUCUUGGGAGAAAUGGAUAAACUAGAUUAUCUUGUGAAGCCUUUCUUCGGAUUCAGGUUCUAUGAACCUGAGGUUCUUAUGUUUAUUACCAUUAUCAACAGCAUUUUUAAUGCAGUGGCAUCAAGGACUCAAAGUGAUAGCAUAACUUUCUUGCACUAGGUGCAACAGCCACUGCAGAAUAAAGAACAUGGAGACAAUUCCUCCUUUAUACACAUUUACCUGCAAUUUCACUGGCAAAGUGUGUAAUGUGACAAACAUAGUGGUGCUGCCAGAGUGAAGACAUGAAAGAAAGUGAAGAGAGCAGCUGCCUAUAUUUCAAAUCUGAUUGGCAGGAAUGAGUGGCUUCCUGAACAAGAAGGAACAUUAAAUGUGUAUAUCUCCUAAAUCCUAGUUUAGGGUCUUCUGCUGACCUGCUGCUCUGACCUUGAACAGAUCAUCUCCUCAAGCCACCACUUCCUUUCUUGUUCUUUUCUAGUCUUGUUUAUUUAAGAUGGUGUAUCUUAGACAUGAGGAAUAGUAUGGUUGCACUGCAUAUAUCCACUGUUCUCAUAAUUAGUGUUGAAAAUAAUUUGUAAUUCAUACACCUCUGUAUCUAAGUAUAAUAAAAGACAGGCCUCAUUUCUGCAAGGACUACUGCAUGAUGUUAACUAAGCACUAUGUUCAGUUGAAUCCCUGGGGAAUACUCCUUGUACAAAACAGUCCUAUUCAGUGCUGUAAAUCUUGCUGCACUGAGGCCUAAAUUUGCAACAAGAUAAAUCCUAUUUUUGUUCAUGGCAAUAAAAGCUUAACUGAAAAAAAAAAUUGUUACUAACUGUUUAGAAUUUUUUAUCUAUAUGUUAAUGUACGUGUACAAGUACAUUGAACUAGUGAUGAGUUCUGAAUCAUAUUAAGCAUGUGAUUAGAAAUUUGCUUCUUUUUCAAGUAUCAUAUUGCUUCUGCCUUUGACCACUCUUGUUAAAGUGAUUUCUGAUACUGUGAUGUACUGUUCAGAGAGGUUUAUUCUUUUAGGUUUACAUAGUGCUACAGUAUACAUCAUACUCGAGCACAAUUCGUACUGAUAUAUAUUGCCCCCAAUACUGGGGACACCAUGCAAAUACUAGGAAGAAAAGUUCCUGACCAAAGAACUCAAACAUGAACUUAACCCAGUGAAGAGUCAUUUAUUCAAAACUAUAAAAGUGAAAGAGGGCAGCAAGAAAUACAAAGUAUCUCAUUAUUUUCACUUACUGAUUGAUAAAAUGGCAGAUAAAUUUAAAAGGUGAUAAAUACAAUUCAAUGUGUAUUGUAAAAACAAUGUCUUUUACGUGUACAGUGAUAUGACCUAGAGAACCCUGCUACAAUGUAACUUGCCUUGUUAGUAUAUUACAUUAAGUAUCUCAUGCUGAA
ensembl:lncRNA